CCUACGGGAGGCAGCAGUGGGGAAUAUUGCACAAUGGGGGAAACCCUGCUGCAGCGACGCCGCGUGAGUGAAGAAGUAUUUCGGUAUGUACAGCUCUAUCAGCAGGGAAGAAAAUGACGGUACCUGAUUAAGAAGCCCCGGCUAACUACGUGCCAGCAGCCGCGGGAAUACGUAGGGGGCAAGCGUUAGCCGGAUUUACGGGGUGUAAAGGGAGCGUAGACGGCAGCACAAGUCUGGAGUGAAAUGCCGGGGCUUAACCCCGGAACUGCUUUGGAAACUGUGCAGCUAGAGUGCAGGAGAGGUAAGUGGAAUUCCUAGUGUAGCGGUGAAAUGCGUAGAUAGUAGGAGGAACACCAGUGGCGAAGGCGGCUUACUGGACUGUAACUGACGUUGAGGCUCGAAAGCGUGGGGAGCAAACAGGAUUAGAUACCCGUGUAGUC
rnacentral:rRNA from 1 species